rnacentral:lncRNA from 1 species
AUGCUACAACUGUGGAGUUUCUGUUACAUUUCAUUUGCUACUCUGGAGUUUGCUCAUCCCUGCAGCUCCAGCUGCCGCUCCACGGUUCCUGCUGCGGCCCGUUUUGGCCAUUGCUGUGUGGAGAGGCGGCCGAGCUCGCGCCACAGCGCCCCCUGCAGCUGCAGGGGAAUCAUCGCACCUGCCCUGCCCGGCCGGGAGCCAACAGCGCCCCUGCUGGCUGUGAGCGGAACUGCACCAACAGGGAAAGUGGCCGCGAGAAGGCCGGGACCGGGUCUGANCUCUGCUCAACAUGAGGGGACACCCCAACCCCAUCACCAUGGCCAAGGGCAAGAAUGUUGUGCUGCCCUGCAGCUUCUCCCCAGAGCAGCACGCACAGGAUACAAAGGUGACCUGGUUUUGAGAACAGUUCUCACCUUUUGUGCAUCACUACAGCCUUGCCAUGCCCUGUCCAGCCUGGAUGAGCAAGGAGGUUUUGGAGGAACUUAUGAACAAAAAAAGAAAGCUCCUUUUUCACUGGAUAAUUGAUUUGGGGCUGGAAACAGAGCAGACAUGCAAUGGUGAUCUGGACUAACCAUACAUCAAAAUGCACUGCAGCAGCACAUGCUUUUCCAUUCUGUUUUGUUCCUCUUGUACUUUGGGAAUGAGCAAGACUUGGAGAUUUUAUUUUCCUGAGGUGUCAUUAUCUUUCUCCUGGUGGUACUGUCUUGCAUUGGAGUGUUGCUGUGUACAUGUUACCCUAUUUCUGAUCCCCUAUUGACUAAUGAAAUGCAAUGUUUGUGUUUUUUCUAAAAAAGGAGAAACCAUGAUGUAACUAGAAAUAAUGUGGUUAGAAAUCCAUCUUGCAUUUGAAAAUCCUUAAAAAUACAGACAAAAUGUCAUCAGCCUCAGACAAGUGCUUGAUUGCCAAAAUGUUGGGGUACUUUUUGUCAUUUUUUGCCAGUUUUUGGAGUAUAGUGAGGAGCUGAUUUUCAUUCUCAAUGGGAUUCAGAUGGAAGGACCAUGUAUGAAAUAGAAAUAAUCUCCUUCCCAUUGCUAGUCUCAGAGUAACCUCUCUUUCAGGGAUUUCAUUCUUCAGAUCCUUUUUUCCAUGAUGCCCAUUCUUGGAUAAUUGCCACAGGCCUGGUCCUGGUUGCUGUGGCUGCUUUCCUUUAUAUCCUGUUUAUCUGUUUAAGAUGAAAGGUACCAUCCUGGGGCAGGAACUGGGGUGGAGCUCAGCUCUUCUGCUAAGCCACCUCUGGUCCUAACUGAUGUGAGGGGUUGAGAAACACCCAGAUGGAACCAGGGUCUUGUCCCGAUAACUGGGGCACACAUUUGGUGCCAGGGAACUUAAAGACCCAGGGACCUUUGACUUCUGUCAGUAAAAGAAAGGCUUCUUUUCUAGCAAGAAGGCAAGGAAUGAAGUUGGCAUUAAAGCCACAUAAUUCACUCCUCUGCCUCAUCAUGGAAAUGCAGUGUCCUAGUUUAGGGCAAAUUAGGGAGGAAAACUUAAAAUGGGGAUUUCCUCAGGGAAAUGCCCCCUCCCCAC